UCAAGCAAGAAAGAGCACAAGGAGAAUGCCUUGGCACUAGGAGCCGAUGAAAGACGUGGUAAGCUGCGAAAAGCUUCGGGGAGGCGCAAACAGCCAUCGAUCCGGAGAUAUCUGAAUGGGGAAACCUACUUGAGCAAACCUCAAGUAUCCAUGCGUGAAUCCAUAGCGUAUGGAAGGGAACGCUGUGAACUGAAACAUCUAAGUAGCAGUAGGAGGAGAAAGAAAACUCGAUUUCCUAAGUAGCGGCGAGCGAACGGGAAAGAGGCCAAACCGAAGGACCUGGUUCUUCGGGGUUGCGGACUGCAUUUAGCAUUGCUGAGAGAUAGACGAAUGGUUUUGGGAAAGCCAGCCGUAGACGGUGAAAGCCCGGUAGACGAAAUCUUGAAGCAGCGAGCAGGAUCCAGAGUACCACGAGACACGAGAAACCUUGUGGGAAGCCGGGGGGACCACCCCCCAAGCCUAAAUACUCCCUAGUGACCGAUAGUGAAGCAGUACUGUGAAGGAAAGGUGAAAAGGACCCCGGGAGGGGAGUGAAAGAGAACCUGAAACCUUGUGCUUACAAACAGUCAAAGGCCUACGGGCUGAUGGCGUACUUUUUGUAGAACGGUCCGGCGAGUUACUAAUGCCAGCGAGGUUAAGUGGUCAGAAGCCACGGAGCCGAAGGGAAACCAAGUCUGAAUAGGGCGUAGAGUUGGUAUUAGUAGACCCGAAACCGGGUGACCUAUCCAUGUCCAGGUUGAAGGAACCGUAAAAGGUUUUGGAGGACCGAACACACAUGUGUUGAAAAACGUGGUGAUGAGGUGUGGAUAGCGGAGAAAUUCCAAUCGAACUCGGAGAUAGCUGGUUCUCCUCGAAAUAGCUUUAGGGCUAGCCUCGAGCUGGAGUCUAACGGAGGUAAAGCACUGAACUGACGCGGGGCCCAAAAAGGUUACCAACUCAUAUCAAACUAAGAAUGCCGUCAAGAUACCCUCGGGAGUCAGUCUGCGUGAGAUAAGUCGCGUGGACAAAAGGGAAAGAGCCCAGACCGACAGCUAAGGUCCCAAAGUACGUGUUAAGUGGAAAAGGAUGUGGGAUUUCAGAGACAACUAGGAUGUUGGCUUAGAAGCAGCCAUACAUUUAAAGAGUGCGUAAUAGCUCACUAGUCGAGAAAACCUGCGCCGAAAAUGUAACGGGGCUAAAACACGACACCGAAGCUACGGAUUCCUUACUAAGUAAGGAGUGGUAGAGGAGCAUCCUGCAAGGACGAAGCCAAAGUGAGAGCGAUGGUGGACGAAACAGGAGAGAGAAUGCCGGAAUGAGUAGCGAGAUACAUGUGAGAAACAUGUAGGCCGAAUAUCUAAGGAUUCCUGGGUAAAGCUAAUCUUCCCAGGGUUAGUCGGGGCCUAAGGCGAGGACGAAAGUCGUAGUCGAUGGAUAACAGGUUGAUAUUCCUGUACUACACAUAAUCAGAACUGUGGGGACGCAGGAGGAUAGGGAAACCGGGGAAUGGAAAGACCCGGUCAAGCGCAAAGCUGUGAGAGAUAGGCAAAUCCGUCUCUUGUAAGUGAAGCGUGAUGAGGACUGAAAAAAAGUAAGGAAGUUUCCGAAUCCACACUGCCGAGAAAAGCCGCUAUUGCGUUAUGUGUACCCGUACCGUAAACCGACACAGGUAGAUGAGGAGAAAAUCCACAGGCCGACGGGAGAAGUGUUGUUAAGGAACUCGGCAAAAUGACCCCGUAACUUCGGGAUAAGGGGAGCCUCGCAAGAGGCCGCAGAAAAGAGGCACAAGCAACUGUUUAGCAAAAACAUAGGUCUAUGCGAAACCGUAAGGUGAAGUAUAUGGGCUGACGCCUGCCCGGUGCUGGAAGGUUAAAAGGAGAGGUCAGCGCAAGCGAAGCUUUGAAUUUAAGCCCCAGUAAACGGCGGCCGUAACUAUAACGGUCAUAAGGUAGCGAAAUGUCUGGUCGGGUGUGUUCCUGUCCGCCGGAAAGUA
rnacentral:rRNA from 1 species